GUGCUGCACCACGGAAAAAAAACAAGCGCGAAAAGGAGAAGCACCCCCAGAGACGCAGUCCCAAGAUGUGUACGUGAGCGUGUACAUCACCAAAUGUAAAGAAGACCCGCCAAUGCAGAACGGAGUUUUGUAAAACAUACCUCAUGUCCACUAUGAAUGAUGAUAGAUGAAGCAAUCUUGGUGUACUUUGCAUUGAGUCUGGGAGGUCAAAAGCACUGAAUCUUGAAUCACUUCGGAUGGGUUGCCAGAAAUCACGAAAAUCGCAGAAUACAGUUGCUGUAAUAGUAGGGGCAGUUUCAGACUAUUCCACAAGAUCUGCACCUAUAUGAAUCUUUUAUCAGCACUUAACUCAGUACUAUUGUGAUUAUUAUACCGUUUUUCAUUGUCGCGUUAUGUCCACAAUGGUUUAAAAAUUUGAUGAAGA